rnacentral:rRNA from 1 species
UACAGAGGGGGCAAGCGUUGUUCGGAAUUACUGGGCGUAAAGGGCGCGUAGGCGGCCUGCUAAGUCGAACGUGAAAUCCCCGGGCUCAACCCGGGAACUGCGUCCGAUACUGGUAGGCUUGAAUCCGGGAGAGGGAUGUGGAAUUCCAGGUGUAGCGGUGAAAUGCGUAGAUAUCUGGAGGAACACCGGUGGCGAAGGCGGCAUCCUGGACCGGCAUUGACGCUGAGGCGCGAAAGCCAGGGGAGCAAACGGG